GAUGAACGCUGGCGGCGUGCCUAAUACAUGCAAGUCGAGCGAACAGACGCGGAGCUUGCUCCUCUGACGUUAGCGGCGGACGGGUGAGUAACACGUGGAUAACCUCCCUAUAAGACUGGGAUAACUUCGGGAAACCGGCGCUAAUACCGGAUAAUAUAUUGAACCGCAUGGUUCAAUAGUGAAAGACGGUUUUGCUGUCACUUAUAGCUGGAUCCGCGCCGCAUUAGCUAGUUGGUAAGGUAACGGGUUACCAAGGCGACGAUGCGUAGCCGACCUGAGAGGGUGAUCGGCCACACUGGAACUGAGACACGGUCCAGACUCCUACGGGAGGCAGCAGUAGGGAAUCUUCCGCAAUGGGCGAAAGCCUGACGGAGCAACGCCGCGUGAGUGAUGAAGGUCUUCGGAUCGUAAAACUCUGUUAUUAGGGAAGAACAAAUGUGUAAGUAACUAUGCACGUCUUGACGGUACCUAAUCAGAAAGCCACGGCUAACUACGUG
rnacentral:rRNA from 1 species